UUGCCCCCUUUUGUACUUUGUAGAUGCCACCCAAGAAGAAGAAAGGGGUCAUAAGAAGCUUUUUCAUAAAGCAGAGUCAGAGUAUUGAAAACACCCAAACUCGUCUCUGAAGAGGACAAAGACACAAUCCCUGUCUACUCUCCAGUGAGGACUGAAUGCAGAAAUCAUACUGUUUGACAUCUACUAUGUCAGAGAUAAGAUAAAAGGUCCUGAAGCCUCUCUGAGAUCUUCUUCUGUCUCUCUGUACAGUAAUCAGAGCACAGAGACAUCUUUAGAUUCACAGCUAAGAGACAAAAAUCUGUCCAUCCUAAAGACUGAAGAGACGUUUCUUUGAGGACCUGUCAAUUACAUAAAGUACUGUAAGGAUGCUAUAAAGAUAAACACGUCACACAUGGCAUCUUGCCAUUAUUCACAAAUAAUCAUUUCUGAAUAUGCAGUUAUAUUGCGUGCUGUUUGGAAUUAAUUUUAUUCGUGAUGGAGUGCUCUUGGAGCGAGUGAAAACCAUGACGCUCCUACUUUUAAAGGAUCGGCUCCUCGCUCCAGGCAGAACACACUCUUUAAGGAAGGAGUCCUCCUCUGUUAUUAGCAUUGUGCUGCUCCGGUAGGACAUCGAAAAUGUGAAGGACAAAAAGUAUUUAAUAGGUUGUAGUUUUGAAACAUUUUCUAGAAUGUUUUUGCUUUUUGUGUUUUUAUUUUUUUUGUUUGACUGUUUUCUUGGCGAUGCACACCAAGGUAAGAACACUGUUAUUACUUUCAGUAGACGAUCCACCGGUGUAACGAUAGAUAGAUAGAUAGAUGCAAAUGAUUAAGUUUUCAUCUUAUGAGCUAUUUUUUCAGGCUUCUAUGCUUUGGUUCAGUUUCACUUUAAUGUAAUAGAAAAGGACCUAUACAUUGCCAUUAAAGUGAAAUAACUAUC